UUGAUAAUCAAAUCUACAUGGAUAACUGUGGUAAUUCUAGAGCUAAUACAUGCUGUCAAACCUGACUUCUGGAAAGGUUGUAUUUAUUAGAUAUCAAACCAUCAUUGGUGAUGAUUCAUAGUAACUGAUCGAAUCGCAGUCCGCUGCGAUAAAUCAUUCAAGUUUCUGCCCUAUCAGCUUUCGAUGGUAGUGUAUUGGACUACCAUGGCAGUCACGGGUAACGGAGAAUUAGGGUUCGAUUCCGGAGAGGGAGCCUGAGAAACGGCUACCACAUCUACGGAAGGCAGCAGGCGCGUAAAUUACCCAAUCCCGAUUCGGGGAGGUAGUGACAAGAAAUAACAACUCGGGCGGCGCAAGCCGUUGCGAGAUUGCAAUGGGUACAAUUUAAAACACUUAACGAGUAACAAUUGGAGGGCAAGUCUGGUGCCAGCAGCCGCGGUAAUUCCAGCUCCAAUAGCGUAUAUUAAAGUUGUUGCAGUUAAAAAGCUCGUAGUCGAAGUUCUGGCUGGUCCUGUUUCCGGCUCCGGUCGACUCAGGACCUAGUCAUCCAUCGGAGAACCUUUGUCGUCC
rnacentral:rRNA from 1 species